GACGAACGCUGGCGGCGUGCUUAACACAUGCAAGUCGAACGGUAAGGCCCUUCGGGGUACACGAGUGGCGAACGGGUGAGUAACACGUGGGUGAUCUGCCCUGCACUUCGGGAUAAGCCUGGGAAACUGGGUCUAAUACCGGAUAGGACCAUGGCCUGCAUGGGUGGUGGUGGAAAGCUUUUGCGGUGUGGGAUGGGCCCGCGGCCUAGCAGCUUGUUGGUGGGGUGAUGGCCUACCAAGGCGACGACGGGUAGCCGGCCUGAGAGGGUGACCGGCCACACUGGGACUGAGAUACGGCCCAGACUCCUACGGGAGGCAGCAGUGGGGAAUAUUGCACAAUGGGCGCAAGCCUGAUGCAGCGACGCCGCGUGAGGGAUGACGGCCUUCGGGUUGUAAACCUCUUUCAGCACCGACGAAGCGCAAGUGACGGUAGGUGCAGAAGAAGGACCGGCCAACUACGUGCCAGCCGCCGCCGUAA
rnacentral:rRNA from 1 species